ACUGCAGACCUGACUUCAUCUCCACGGUCCCCCACGUGACCACUCCCUCCCACUAGUGGGCUCUUCCCAGGAAUUCUGAUUUCCACUUAUGGAAUUCAAUGUCAGCAUGCACAUAGUAGAGCCAGAGGGACUGAUCUGCUCAGUGAGCAGCCAGGCCUCACGGGGGACUUCACGCCGAUCGCAUUUCAUAUUUAUGUGCCUGUUUGGAUUGUUUUCUGAGGCGAAGUCAGGCCUGC